rnacentral:rRNA from 1 species
UGGGGAAUAUUGCACAAUGGAGGGAACUCUGAUGCAGCAACGCCGCGUGCGGGAUGACGGCCUUCGGGUUGUAAACCGCUUUCAGCCAUGACGAAGCUUUUGUGACGGUAGUGGUAGAAGAAGCACCGGCUAACUACGUGCCAGCAGCCGCGGUGAUACGUAGGGUGCGAGCGUUGUCCGGAAUUAUUGGGCGUAAAGAGCUUGUAGGCGGUUUGUCGCGUGGAAAGUGUAAACUCAGUGCUUAACGCUGAGCCUGCUUUCGAUACGGGCUGACUAGAGGAGGGUAGAGGAGAAUGGAAUUCCCGGUGGAGCGGUGGAAUGCGCAGAUAUCGGGAGGAACACCAGUGGCGAAGGCGGUUCUCUGGACCUUUCCUGACGCUGAGAAGCGAAAGCGUGGGUAGCAAACAGG